UAGCCAGACUCCUACGGGAGGCAGCAGUGGGGAAUAUUGCACAAUGGGGGAAACCCUGAUGCAGCGACGCCGCGUGAGCGAUGAAGUAUUUCGGUAUGUAAAUCUCUAUCAGCAGGGAAGAAGAUGACGGUACCUGACUAAGAAGCCCCGGCUAACUACGUGCCAGCAGCCGCGGUAAUACGUAGGGGGCAAGCGUUAUCCGGAUUUACUGGGUGUAAAGGGAGCGUAGACGGCGAUGCAAGCCAGAUGUGAAAGCCCGGGGCUCAACCCCGGGACUGCAUUUGGAACUGUGUGGCUGGAGUGUCGGAGAGGCAGGCGGAAUUCCUAGUGUAGCGGUGAAAUGCGUAGAUAUUAGGAGGAACACCAGUGGCGAAGGCGGCUUACUGGACUGUAACUGACGUUGAGGCUCGAAGGCGUGGGGAGCAAACAGGAUUAGAUACCCUGGUAC
rnacentral:rRNA from 1 species